UCAAUUGAAUCACGUCAGCUGGUAGGAAAUUUGCCGCUUGCAUUUCGUCCACUCCUGCCAGUCUUAGCUAUGGCGACAGCGCCACCGCGCCGGUCGCUGCUUCUGCUGUUACCGCAGCUUCUCCUCCUCCGCUCCUUGUUGGCCGCCGCCACGCCGUCGAUCACCACGAAAGCGGUGCCGCGGCUUCCCGGUUUCAGCGGACCCCUGCCCUUCUCCCUCGAAACAGGGUACGUGGAGCUGGACGACGGCGUCCGCCUCUUCUACUACUUCAUCCAGUCGGAGCGCGACCCGGAGGAGGACCCCGUCCUGCUCUGGCUCACCGGCGGGCCCGGAUGCUCCGCGCUCUCCGGCCUCGUCUACGAGAUCGGUCCUUUCUACUUCGACUUCGAGGGGUACACCGGGAGUGGACUGCCUACUCUGCUCUACAAACCAGCAUCUUGGACCCAGGUUAGCAAUGUCAUCUUCGUGGAUUCUCCGGCAGGGACAGGCUUCUCGUAUGACACCACGUGGAACAGAACCAUACCAAGUGACACCAUCGUUAUUCAACAGCUGCACACCUUUCUCCAAACGUGGUUUGAUGAACACCCACAGUUUUUGCCCAAUCCGUUCUACGUUGCGGGUGAUUCGUAUAGCGGCAUAAUCAUACCUCCUCUUGCUAUGAAAAUUGCUAAGACUGCUCAUAGUGGGAGUAACUUAGGGAUAGAAUACGGUGAUGAGCGGCUCAUCAAUCUCAAGGUUUUAUGUCCAUACAAGUCUUCUUUCAUCGCUAAUAAGGCAGGGGCAGGUUCUCUCUCUAUCCAGGGUGUCAUUGCUGGCAAUCCAUUAACUGAUCUAAUGUUGGACUUCAACUCUCGGGUUCCGUUUCUUCAUCGGAUGGGAAUCAUAUCGGAUGAACUCUACGAGGCUGCUCGUGAAGGCUGUAGAGGGCAAUACCGUAGCCCAUCGAACGCUGAUUGUGCCAAUUCCCUCCAAGCCAUUGACUAUAUCACAAGGGAUUUGAAUACUGCACACAUCUUGGAGAAAAAUUGUAUAGAAUAUCCAAGCCUCGCCAUUCAGAAGCGGCCGAGGUUGCAAGAUCAUGGUAGGAAAAGGCUAUUAGAGUCCGCAGUUUGGUCUAUCUGCAGGAAUUCCACCUACUUUCUGUCCGAGGUAUGGAUAAACGACGAACCUGUAAGGGAGAGUUUGGGUAUUCACAAGGGAACAGUUCCAUCAUGGCUACGAUGUGAUUUCGAUAUACCUUACACAAAGGAAAUCACCGAUGCAGUGGAUGGUCAUUUAGCAUUGAUUGCUAAAGGAUACCGGGCCAUGAUCUACAGCGGCGACCAUGAUGCUAGUAUACCUUAUGUUGGCACCCAAGCAUGGAUCAGAAAACUUAACCUGCCCAUCACAGAUAAUUGGCGACCAUGGUAUGUGGACGGCCAAGUUGUUGGGUUCACAAGAACAUACUCCAACAAUCUGACAUAUGCAACUGUAAAGGGUGCUGGACACACAGCCCCGGAGUACAUGCCCAAGGAGUGUCUUGCCAUGAUCGAUAGAUGGCUCUCGGGUGAACCUCUUUGAGGGGUCGACUGAUGUUGGGUGCACGUGGAGGUUCUUAAUGUCAAUUGUAUAUUUAAGGUUCCUUCGUCAGCAGAAUCCGAAGUAUGCUGCGAAGCAUCACAUAUGAAUUAGAUCAAUGUUUCACCCUCAAGUAACACUCCAUAGAUAAAUUUAGUGUGCAGCGAUCCCCAGUGGAAAAAGAGAAAUGAAAGGUACAAAAAAGACUGCUUACAAGCAAAACAUGGUGUAUUAAUGACUCAUCUAUUGAGAUAAUGCACAAUGGAGGGAAGAGCGGAUACGAUUGUUUACCUCAUGUGAUGACUCGUCAUCCUCAGCCCCAGGUCCGCCAGCUGCUGAAGAACACGGAGUAUGCUGCAGACAGCCACACAAGGAUGAAAAUCUGAACCCUCACCUGGACAUUAAAUCAACUUAAAUUUACCUGUGGAAUGUUUGGUGACGCCAUGCUAAGCAUACUCUGUUCCAAAGACUGGAACUUGUUCUCCCAAGUUUCAUUCAACUGCUGUGUGGCGUGAUUGAUCAUCUCCUGAACCUGAUCCUGAGUGAACAUCUGCGUUCUAUUUCGACCUGAAGAACCUGGGGUGGACUUUGACAAAGGGCCUAUUUGGGCUUUGUCAAUGAUACCAGGGAGUCCAUAGUACCUCCCUCGGUUGCGUCCCCCUACCUCCUGUGACCAUGCAAGAUGGGGGUCUAGUCCAGUAUCACCUGCCUCCUUCAAACGCCGCUGGAAUGCCUCCUGGAAAAUAUAGUAUGCAGACAUAGCUAAUUCUAGUUAAUUCAUCAAACUGAUUUCUGCGACUUUGCAAUGUACUUAUUAACCGACUUAUGAUACAAAUGACUGAAUACGUACCAUGGUUCGCCUAGCUUUCUCAGUAACAAAGUCCCCCUUACCGCCAUCAUGUUUAUGGGUCUUAUUAAAUAGCUCGACUUCCGAUA